UCAUUCACCAGCUUCCAACGCCCUCUCUCUUUUUCUUAAUCCCUUUAUGCGUUUUAUUUCUUUUCCCCGCCAUUUAUAUACGCUGCUCAAUCUGCGUCUUUGCUUAGGGUUUUCCUUUCCCUUUCCAUUCAUUUCUUUCGCGGUAUUCGAUUCUAUUCAACGCGCGCCAAAACCAAAUUACCAAUUACCAAUUACCAAUUACCAAUUACCAAUCAAUUCAAUUUUUUCUUUACUGAACGAAUGAGGAGCUUGAAUGAAUAUCCAAUUCCGAGCGCAUUGCGUAUCUGUAAUUGUUAUGAAUUGCCGAUUUUUGGGGCUAAACUUUCUUCGAUGAUGAUGCUGAUUUUGUGGGAAUUCCCUUUUCCCCUUCUAAUCCUAAUUCCCAGACAGAGAUCCUCAGGGAUCUUAAAAGGAAAUCCACUCUUGAUUGGUUCUGUUUGCAGCGUUCUUUUAAUUAUUGGUCAUGUUGACGUGAUAUUGUUAUUUAGAAUCACGAUCAGUUCUCUGGCGCAUUGAUCCGUUCCUUAAGUGUUUGAACAGUAUUCUAAUGUAGCUCUAUUAGUUUCGUUCAAGGAUUGGUUCUGUGAGAGUAGAAAAUCUGUUACUUCUUGAUUGGUCAUGUUUGUGCAUGUUCCAUUUAGUUUAGGUGAAGCUUCCUUGAUAUUGUUUAUAAAGCUGAUCAGGGCUCCAGCGCAUUAACAUGUUUAAUGCAUAUUUGUGCAAAAUAUGAUCAAGCUGGGAUUGUGGUUAGUCAUUUCUGUAUUUUUAAUCAUGUGGUAUGGUCAUACUCAGUGUCAUGUAAACUUGGAGAUGUUGGACUUGAGUUAAAUGGUUGGUUUUUUUUCUCUCAUUUUGCUGUUCCGAUCAGUGGGAGUGAUGGAAGUGUCAUUAAUGGGUCCUUAUGGGACCAAUCCUGGACCAAUUGAGAGCUCGGUUCUUUAUGACCAAGAGAAGCACGUCUCCUCAGCAGUUUGGGAUGGUCAGGAGCGUGGUGCUCUUAGGUGUCAUGAGCACACUUCCAAGCUUGAUCAGUGGACACUUACGGCCAGACAAAUUGAACUAGUAGAGAGAGCUGGAUUUGGGUACUUGAGAUUGAUUCCUGCAAUCAGUCUGGAUAACCCACUGAUUUCUGCUUUGGUUGAGAGGUGGAGAAGAGAAACAAAUACCUUCCACUUGAAUGUUGGGGAGUUGACUGUAACUCUGAAAGAUGUUGCUCUCUUACUGGGACUAGCAAUUGAUGGAGACCCUGUUAUUGGUUUAACAUAUACAACCUGCCACUCUGUAUGUGAGAGAUAUCUGGGCAGAGCCCCAGAUCCUGGGUAUACGAGUGGUGGAAUGGUUAAGCUUAGUUGGUUGAAAGAGUUCUUUUCUCGGUGCCAUGAAGAUGCUCCAAUGGAAAUUGUUGAACGGCAUACACGUGCUUAUCUUCUUUACCUCGUAGGCAGUACAAUAUUUUCCACCACAACUGGGAAUAAAGUGCCUGUCAUGUACCUUCCGUUAUUUGAGAAUUUUGACCACUGUGGGAAGUUUGCUUGGGGAGCAGCUGCAUUAGCAUUUUUGUACAGAGCUCUUGGAAAUGCUUCCUUAAGGUCACAAAGUACCAUCAGCGGUUGCUUAACCUUAUUACAGUGCUGGAGUUACUUUCACCUUAAUAUUGGGCGCCCAAAGCUAAAUCAAGAUCCAAUGCACAAUCGCUUUCCAUUUGUGCUUAGAUGGAAGGGAAAACAAAGUGGUCCAACAGCAAAUCGUGAUGUAGUAUUUUACCGCAAGGCUUUGGAUUCCCUGAAACCUUGUGAUGUGGAGUGGCUACCUUAUAGAAAUAUGGAUAGUAUGCUAAUUCCAGAAGAUAUUAAAAGUUCUCUGUACCUUGGGAGGGCAAGGACAAUGUUGAUAUGCUUUGAUAAGGCAGAGAGGCAUCUUCCUAACCGUUGCUUAAGGCAGUAUGGUAUGCCUCAGGCAAUCCCAGAAGAUGUACCACGGUGGGAGAGAAAGAGCCGGGGUGUUGAUGGAGGAGUUGAUCUGUCUGCAAAAAUGGAAGUCGAGCUUAAUGAAUGGAGAGACCGUGGACGACAAAUUGUUGAUUGUGAUGAGAGUAUAGAUGAGAAUGAAUACAUACAAUGGUACCUGAAAAUUACUCGUAGGUUUGUUGGGAGGCCCAUAUCUCUCUCAUCUGAGUUUCAGAGGACGAAUGCUGGUUUGAGGGAUAUCGCACACAUAGCAGAUACAUUCCCAACCAAAGGGUUGGAUCAGCAACAAAUUGAUUUGAUUUCAAGGAUAAGAUGCAUUGCUCAUGAUUGCUUAAGAGAUCAAGUUGGAGGUCCAAUUAUUUUGUCCUCCACCCCCCAAAUUGAACUUGGGAAACGAGUCAGGGGAAAAGAGAGAGUCAGAAGGAGAGGUAUAGGAAAACGUGUAAGGAAGGAGGAACAAUUGCAAUACAAUGCAGUUAGUGAGGAUGAUCAAUCUCAUUUUUGCGAAUCUGCCAUUGAGGUUGAUCAACUACAACUCCAUCACAUGAACAGAGAGAUGGAGCAUCCAGAGUUAUGUUCUGUUGAUGUGGAGGUGGAUCAUUUACCGCUUAUUCAUGAAGUUGAUGAGGAUGAAAACAUGCAGUUGUGUCGGGCCAAUAUAGGGGUUGACCAUCCUGGCAUGAUCCAUAAUGCUGCUGGGGGAAAUAUGGCUGAGUUAAGCCAUGCUGGUAUUAAACUUGAUGAAGCAGAGCUGUGUGACGCGCCUAAGGAUGUCGAUGACCUACAUUUAUCUGAUACAAUCAAUGAAGUUACAGAUGCCCAGAUUUGUAGUGCAAUGGAUACUGUUGAUAGACAGCAUUUCCCUACAUCUGAGGAAGCCAAGGACUCACAGCUUUAUCAUUUAACUGAGGAAGUUAACAUGCCAAAGUUCCCCGACACAGCUAACAAGGUUGAUAAUUCAGAGCUUUGCCAUGGCUCUUUUAAGAGCUCUCCGCAGACCGGUGAACUACCUGCUGAUAUUGUUUCAGAGACAUCUUUUGUGCCUCAUGAGGCUAUGGUGCAGAAAGGGAAUAACAGUGUUUAUAUAAAACAGAGAUGAAUGUGCGGCCCAAGGCUAAUGCAUAAAUUUCACGAUGGAUGAUAGGCUUAGUCAUUUGAAGCUGUUGGAUAUAAUUUUUUUAUACUGAUAGAGCACACCUUGGAAGUAUUUGAAACAAGUAGGGUAGCCCAAAAGGAAACAAUCGUCUGCUACGACUGCCGGCUUUCUUUUUGUUGGAUUUGGGACUUGAAGUUAAAGAGACAAAAAUCACAAUUAACAACUUUUGUGAGGGUAAAGUUCCAAUGUGUUGGAUGCUACCCAACCCAUUGUAUGGUGAAUUCAAGUGUGGCCGAUUGAAGCAAUGACCAGCAAAAGAAAUGAAAACAAGGCGUCUUCCUUGAUUACUGUGGCAAAGUUCUUAAUGCUCUGUUUCUUGGAACUACAAUCAAAUUAAUCAUGUAUUUGUUUAUUAAUUGUUUACACUAAUUGUAUGAUCAUUUUUGGUUGAUUAAUAAGAUCAUAAUAAUAUUCACUAGCUUCUUCAA